GAUGAACGCUAGCUACAGGCUUAACACAUGCAAGUCGAGGGGCAGCAUGAUUGAAGCUUGCUUCAAUCGAUGGCGACCGGCGCACGGGUGAGUAACACGUAUCCAACCUGCCGAUAACUCGGGGAUAGCCUUUCGAAAGAAAGAUUAAUACCCGAUAGUAUAGUAUUUCCGCAUGGUUUCACUAUUAAAGAACUUCGGUUAUCGAUGGGGAUGCGUUCCAUUAGAUAGUUGGCGGGGUAACGGCCCACCAAGUCAACGAUGGAUAGGGGUUCUGAGAGGAAGGUCCCCCACAUUGGAACUGAGACACGGUCCAAACUCCUACGGGUGGCAGCAGUGAGGAAUAUUGGUCAAUGGACGAGAGUCUGAACCAGCCAAGUAGCGUGAAGGAUGACUGCCCUAUGGGUUGUAAACUUCUUUUAUACGGGAAUAAAGUGGAGUAUGCAUACUCCUUUGUAUGUACCGUAUGAAUAAGGAUCGGCUAACUCCGUG
rnacentral:rRNA from 1 species